AAAAUUUGACCCAAAGUUGAAUAAUGCGUUCCUAGUAUAUUCUAAUAGUCUUUACUUUUAAGAUUUUUAUUUUUAUUUAUUAUUUUAAUUAACCUGGAGAAUCUUACCUUUUGCAUCAUGUAUAAAUAAAUUUUAUUUGCAAAAAAAAGUUACGAACUAUUAAGAAUAAUCAUUAUUAACCUUAAAUUGUGGUAACACUUUAAAAAAAAUAACAAUUGGAAUGAUAUGUUAACAUUUAAUAGAUUCUUAUUAAAUUUUAUUAGAAUAAUUCUAACUUUGAGAAAUAUAAAAUAUGGGAAGAGAUAAGUCUUUCUAUAUCAGUUAAAAUAUAAUAUGUUUAAUCUUAAAUAUAAAUAUUAAUGUUAGUUUGAAUUUAUUAAAAUUCUCCAGUUUCAAGUAUUUAAUUUUUAUAGCAUUAAAAUUUUAGAAGGUUGAUCAAAAGAUACCUUAAAAUAUAUAUUUUUAUUAGUAGUUAGUCUGUUAAAUUUAAGUAAGUUAUUAGUUAUUAAUUUUAUAAAUAUAAAAAUAAAAGUAAAAUUACUCGACCAAGUACAUUUAGCCUGUUUAUCAAAAACAUCGUAAAUAAUAUUUAUAAUACCUGCUCAGUGAAUAUUUAAACAGCCGCGUUAGUGUUAAGGUAGCAUAGUAAUUAGUUUCUUAAUUGGGAAAUAGGAUGAAUGGUUUCACUAAAAUAUAGUUUUUAUCCUCAUUUGCGAAAUUUUAAUCUAAGUGAAAAUACUUAGCAGUUGUACUAGGACGAGAAGACCCUAUGAAGCUGGCAAACUAUUAAUACAUAUUCCUAUUAUUUAUUAGUUUAUUUUUUGGGGUAAAAUUUAAUAAUACUAUUAACACAAUUGUACUAAAUUACAUCCUUUAGGAAUUAUGAAGAAGCUCCUCUAGGGAUAACAGCAUUAUGCUUAAAAGAGUUCUUAUCAGAAUAAGCGUUUGUGACCUCGAUGUUGAAUUAAAUGCUCUUUUAUGUGCAGGAGCUUAGAAGAGACGGUCUGUUCGACCUAUUAUAUUUACAUGAUUUGAGUUAAAAUCGACGCAAGUCAGAUUGGUUUCUAUCCAGUGUAUAAAUUUUUAUUAUCUAGUACGAAAGGAAUGACAAUAAUUUUA
rnacentral:rRNA from 1 species